CGCCCAAUAGCUAGCUCACCCCUACAAAACCAAUAUUACCCUAUUAAUAACCCCUAAUACACUUAGACUCAUAAACAAACCAUUUUUCCUCCUUAGUACGGGCGACGGAAAAGGAACCUGAAGCAAUAGAGAAAGUACCGCAAGGGAAAGCUGAAAGAGGAAUGAAACAACCCAGUAAAGCACUAAAAAGCAGAGACACAACCUCGUACCUUUUGCAUCAUGAUUUAGCCAGCACCCCUUAAGCAAAGAGAAUUUUAGUUUAAUACCCCGAAACUAGGUGAGCUACUCCAAGACAGCCUAAUCAAUAGGGCGCCCCCGUCUCUGUGGCAAAAGAGUGGGAAGAGCUUUGAGUAGAGGUGACAGACCUACCGAACCUAGUAAUAGCUGGUUGCCUGGGAAUUGGAUAGAAGUUCAGCCUCAUAAGUUCUUCCCUCGCCCUGUCCAACCGGCCUAUUCCUGAGACCAGAAGAAAUUUUGAGAGUUAGUCAAAGGGGGUACAGCCCCUUUGAAACAAGACACAACUUUUCCAGGAGGAUAAAGAUCAUAAUAAUUUUAAGGCAAAAUGCUAUGGUGGGCCUAAAAGCAGCCAUCCUAAUAGAAAGCGUUAAAGCUCAAGCAUUAAUUAACCCCUACAAUACUGAUAAUAGAUCUAAAACCCCUAAACUUACCAGGCCGCUCCAUGCCCCCAUGGAAGCGACCAUGCUAAUAUGAGUAAUAAGAGAGCCCAAACUCUCUCCCAGCACAUGUGUAAAUCGGAACGGACCCCCCACCGAACCUUAACGGUCCCAAACAAAGAGGGCAAUGAGCAAAAAACCAAACAACAAGAAAAACACCCACUAUAACACCGUUAACCCCACACCGGCGUGCCAACAAGGAAAGACUAAAAGAAAAAGAAGGAACUCGGCAAACACACAAACUAAGCCUCGCCUGUUUACCAAAAACAUCGCCUCUUGAAAAAACAACAUAAGAGGUCCCGCCUGCCCUGUGACCACGUGUUUAACGGCCGCGGUAUUUUGACCGUGCAAAGGUAGCGCAAUCACUUGUCUUUUAAAUGGAGACCUGUAUGAAUGGCACGACGAGGGCUUAACUGUCUCCUUUUUCCAGUCAAUGAAAUUGAUCUCCCCGUGCAGAAGCGGGGAUAAAACCAUAAGACGAGAAGACCCUGUGGAGCUUUAGACACUAAGCCAGAUCACGUCAAAUACCCCCACUAAAGGAUCGAACUUACUGCAACCUGGCCUGAUGUCUUUGGUUGGGGCGACCUCGGGGAAGCAAAAAACCCCCGCGUGGAAUGGAAGAACUCUGCUUCCAGAACCAAGAGCCACCGCUCAAAUUAACAGAAUUUCUGACCAAUUACAGAUCCGGCUCAACGCCGAUCAACGGACCGAGUUACCCCAGGGAUAACAGCGCAAUCCUCUUUUAGAGCCCAUAUCGACAAGAGGGUUUACGACCUCGAUGUUGGAUCAGGACAUCCUAAUGGUGCAGCCGCUAUUAAGGGUUCGUUUGUUCAACGAUUAAAGUCCUACGUGAUCUGAGUUCAGACCGGAGUAAUCCAGGUCAGUUUCUAUCUAUGCUAUGAUCUUUUCUAGUACGAAAGGACCGAAAAGAAAAGGCCAAUACUUCAAGCACGCCUUACCCUCACCUAAUGAAAACAACUAAAAUAGGUAAAAGGGCAUAACCCCCUGCUCAAGAAAAUAGCAU
rnacentral:rRNA from 1 species